AGCGGCGGACGGGUGAGUAAUGCUUAGGAAUCUGCCUAUUAGUGGGGGACAACAUUCCGAAAGGAAUGCUAAUACCGCAUACGCCCUACGGGGGAAAGCAGGGGAUCUUCGGACCUUGCGCUAAUAGAUGAGCCUAAGUCAGAUUAGCUAGUUGGUGGGGUAAAGGCCUACCAAGGCGACGAUCUGUAGCGGGUCUGAGAGGAUGAUCCGCCACACUGGGACUGAGACACGGCCCAGACUCCUACGGGAGGCAGCAGUGGGGAAUAUUGGACAAUGGGCGAAAGCCUGAUCCAGCCAUGCCGCGUGUGUGAAGAAGGCCUUUUGGUUGUAAAGCACUUUAAGCGAGGAGGAGGCUACUUAGAUUAAUACUCUAGGAUAGUGGACGUUACUCGCAGAAUAAGCACCGGCUAACUCUGUGCCAGCAGCCGCGGUAAUACAGAGGGUGCGAGCGUUAAUCGGAUUUACUGGGCGUAAAGCGUGCGUAGGCGGCUUCUUAAGUCGGAUGUGAAAUCCCUGAGCUUAACUUAGGAAUUGCAUUCGAUACUGGGAAGCUAGAGUAUGGGAGA
rnacentral:rRNA from 1 species